rnacentral:pre_miRNA from 1 species
CGGUGUAGUUUGGCAAGUAGAAUAGCAGGCUUAUCACAUGUAACACUCGACUCUGUGUGAGAUUCUUCUAUUCUACUUUCGAUACGAGACACCA